GAUGAACGCUGGCGGCGUGCCUAAUACAUGCAAGUCGAGCGAACAGACGAGGAGCUUGCUCCUUUGACGUUAGCGGCGGACGGGUGAGUAACACGUAGGUAACCUACCUAUAAGACUGGGAUAACUUCGGGAAACCGGAGCUAAUACCGGAUAAUAUUUCGAACCGCAUGGUUCGAUAGUGAAAGAUGGCUUUGCUAUCACUUAUAGAUGGACCUGCGCCGUAUUAGCUAGUUGGUAAGGUAACGGCUUACCAAGGCAACGAUACCUAGCCGACCUGAGAGGGUGAUCGGCCACACUGGAACUGAGACACGGUCCAGACUCCUACGGGAGGCAGCAGUAGGGAAUCUUCCGCAAUGGGCGAAAGCCUGACGGAGCAACGCCGCGUGAGUGAUGAAGGUCUUCGGAUCGUAAAACUCUGUUAUUAGGGAAGAACAAACGUGUAAGUAACUGUGCACGUCUUGACGGUACCUAAUCAGAAAGCCACGGCUAACUACGUG
rnacentral:rRNA from 1 species